rnacentral:rRNA from 1 species
GUUGACCUCGGAUCAGGUAGGGAUACCCGCUGAACUUAAGCAUAUCAAUAAGCGGAGGAAAAGAAACCAACAGGGAUUGCCCUAGUAACGGCGAGUGAAGCGGCAACAGCUCAAAUUUGAAAUCUGGCGCAAGCCCGAGUUGUAAUUUGUAGAGGAUGCUUCUAGGCAGCGGCCGUUCUAAGUUCCUUGGAACAGGACGUCAUAGAGGGUGAGAAUCCCGUAUGUGACCGGCACGCACCUUGUACGUAGCUCCUUCGACGAGUCGAGUUGUUUGGGAAUGCAGCUCUAAAUGGGAGGUAAAUUUCUUCUAAAGCUAAAUACCGGCUGGAGACCGAUAGCGCACAAGUAGAGUGAUCGAAAGAUGAAAAGCACUUUGGAAAGAGAGUUAAAAAGCACGUGAAAUUGUUGAAAGGGAAGCGCCUGCAACCAGACUUCGCGGCAGUGUUCCGCCGGUCUUCUGACCGGUCUAUUCUCUGUCGCGAGGCCAUCAUCGUCUGGGGCCGCCGGAUAAGACUGGAGGAAUGUAGCUCCCCUCGGGGAGUGUUAUAGCUUCCAGUGAUGCGGCGUGUCUCGGGCGAGGUCCGCGCUUCGGCAAGGAUGAUGGCGUAAUGGUUGUCGGCGGCCCGUCUUGAAACACGGACCAAGGAGUCUAACAUCUAUGCGAGUGUUCGGGUGUCAAACCCCUACGCGUAAUGAAAGUGAACGGAGGUGGGAACUUUUUGUGCACCAUCGACCGAUCCUGAUGUCCUCGGAUGGAUUUGAGUAAGAGCAUAGCUGUUGGGACCCGAAAGAUGGUGAACUAUGCCUGAAUAGGGUGAAGCCAGAGGAAACUCUGGUGGAGGCUCGCAGCGGUUCUGACGUGCAAAUCGAUCGUCAAAUUUGGGUAUAGGGGCGAAAGACUAAUCGAACCAUCUAGUAGCUGGU